GAUGAACGCUGGCGGCAGGCCUAACACAUGCAAGUCGAGGGGUAUAGUAGCAAUACUAGAGACCGGCGCACGGGUUCGUAACGCGUAUGCAAUCUACCUUUUACAGGGGAAUAGCCCAGAGAAAUUUGGAUUAAUGCCCCAUGGUAUAUCGAAGUGGCAUCACUAUGAUAUUAAAGUUCCAACGGUAAAAGAUGAGCAUGCGUCCCAUUAGUUAGUUGGUAAGGUAACGGCUUACCAAGACGAUGAUGGGUAGGGGUCCUGAGAGGGAGAUCCCCCACACUGGUACUGAGACACGGACCAGACUCCUACGGGAGGCAGCAGUGAGGAAUAGUGGACAAUGGGCGCAAGCCUGAUCCAGCCAUGCCGCGUGCAGGAAGAAGCAUCUAUGGUGUGUAAACUGCUUUUGUACGGGAAGAAACACUCCUACGUGUAGGAGCUUGACGGUACCGUAAGAAUAAGGAUCGGCUAACUCCGUGCCAGCCGCCGCCGUAAUAC
rnacentral:rRNA from 1 species